GACGAACGCUGGCGGCGUGCCUAAUACAUGCAAGUUGAGCGCUGAAGGUUGGUACUUGUACCAACUGGAUGAGCAGCGAACGGGUGAGUAACGCGUGGGGAAUCUGCCUUUGAGCGGGGGACAACAUUUGGAAACGAAUGCUAAUACCGCAUAAAAACUUUAAACACAAGUUUUAAGUUUGAAAGAUGCAAUUGCAUCACUCAAAGAUGAUCCCGCGUUGUAUUAGCUAGUUGGUGAGGUAAAGGCUCACCAAGGCGAUGAUACAUAGCCGACCUGAGAGGGUGGUCGGCCACAUUGGGACUGAGACACGGCACAAACUCCUACGGGAGGCAGCAGUAGGGAAUCUUCGGCAAUGGACGAAAGUCUGACCGAGCAACGCCGCGUGAGUGAAGAAGGUUUUCGGAUCGUAAAACUCGGUUGGUAGAGAAGAACGUUGGUGAGAGUGGAAAGCUCAUCAAGUGACGGUAACUACCCAGAAAGGGACGGCUAACUACGUG
rnacentral:rRNA from 1 species